CGCUGGCGGCGUGCCUAAUACAUGCAAGUCGAGCGAACUGAAGAGGAGCUUGCUCCUUUGACGUUAGCGGCGGACGGGUGAGUAACACGUGGGUAACCUACCUAUAAGACUGGAAUAACUCCGGGAAACCGGGGCUAAUGCCGGAUAAUAUGUUGAACCGCAUGGUUCAACAGUGAAAGACGGUUUUGCUGUCACUUAUAGAUGGACCCGCGCCGCAUUAGCUAGUUGGUGAGGUAACGGCUCACCAAGGCGACGAUGCGUAGCCGACCUGAGAGGGUGAUCGGCCACACUGGAACUGAGACACGGUCCAGACUCCUACGGGAGGCAGCAGUAGGGAAUCUUCCGCAAUGGACGAAAGUCUGACGGAGCAACGCCGCGUGAGUGAUGAAGGUCUUCGGAUCGUAAAGCUCUGUUGUUAGGGAAGAACAAAUGUGUAAGUAACUGUGCACAUCUUGACGGUACCUAACCAGAAAGCCACGGCUAACUACGUGCCAGCAGCCGCGGUAAUACGUAGGUGGCAAGCGUUAUCCGGAAUUAUUGGGCGUAAAGCGCGCGUAGGCGGUUUUUUAAGUCUGAUGUGAAAGCCCACGGCUCAACCGUGGAGGGUCAUUGGAAACUGGAAAACUUGAGUGCAGAAGAGGAAAGUGGAAUUCCAUGUGUAGCGGUGAAAUGCGCAGAGAUAUGGAGGAACACCAGUGGCGAAGGCGGCUUUCUGGUCUGCAACUGACGCUGAUGUGCGAAAGCGUGGGGAUCAAACAGGAUUAGAUACCCUGGUAGUCCACGCCGUAAACGAUGAGUGCUAAGUGUUAGGGGGUUUCCGCCCCUUAGUGCUGCAGCUAACGCAUUAAGCACUCCGCCUGGGGAGUACGGUCGCAAGAC
rnacentral:rRNA from 1 species